UUGGGUGCGUGAAUGACGUGAACCUAUGCCGAGUGGCGGAAGAUGCGAUUGGGUCGAAGUUGAGAGUGAUAUGUCUCUAGUUGUGAAUAGAGAUGGAUUCAAGUGGUAUUAGUUCUUGGCUUGAAGUGGUUGUGUCAGCGGCCGACGAUAUGACGCUAAGAGUCUAGAAUGAGUACACUUGUGUGCUUCCGCCUGAUUUUAAUGUUAAGUCGCGUAAUUUCGGUAAUCGCGAAUGGGUUGAUGGGUUAAGUUAAUUGACCCGGUUGCUGCGUUUCAGGAACUAAUG
rnacentral:lncRNA from 1 species